CUUUGACAUGGAUACAGGGACUAUCAGAGUGUGCGGAUCCACAGACUUCAGGCUGCCUCCUGUCUUGCACCAUUAAAACAGAAAUGACUCAUUAGAUUAAAUUAAAAGAUAAUAAGAUGUGCUGGUGUGAAUCUGCAUCAGGGAACAGGAGCAAUAUCCUUGAUGCCUCCCGUGCUGUGAGUGAGCGUCGAAAAGAUUAUAAACUACUGAGAACUUCGAUGAAUGCCCAGUCAGCAUGGUACCUCCAUGUGGGUGACACCACGGAGAUUACCUGCAGUGUGAAUCUGGACAUUUACAACAUCAGCAACAAGAUGAACCUGCAGCUGAUCUGGACUAAGAUGGGGCCUGAAGAGAACAGCACGAAGGUUGUCUCAAGCCAGCUAGCAUCUACAGGCAUUUCCUACACACUGGGUCCUGUUACCCUCGAACAUCAGGGAGUUUACACAUGUGUUGAUGAGAGUUUGCCUGUUCUUGGUAAUCUCUGGCAUAAGAUCAUCUGGGUAGCUGAUGACUCUCCAAUUGUGUCCAUUGAUGUUUAA
rnacentral:lncRNA from 1 species